rnacentral:rRNA from 1 species
UUCCGGUUGAUCCUGCCGGAGGUCACUGCUAUUGGAGUUCGAUUAAGCCAUGCGAGUCAAGAGUUCUUCGUGAACUCGGCGGACUGCUCAGUAACACGUGGGUAAUCUACCCUCGGGUCAGGGAUAACCCCGGGAAACUGGGGAUAAUACCUGAUAGGUGAAGAUGUCUGGAAGGAUGCUUCGCCCAAAGCUCCGGCGCCCGAGGAUGAGCCUGCGGCCGAUUAGGUUGUUGGCGGUGUAACGGACCACCAAGCCUGUGAUCGGUACGGGUGGUGAGAGCCAUAGCCCGGAGAUGGGGGCUGAGACACGGCCCCAGGCCCUACGGGGCGCAGCAGGCGCGAAAACUACGCAAUGCGCGAAAGCGUGACGUGGGAACUCCAAGUGCCCUGCCUUCGGGUAGGGCUUUUGACUAGUGUAAGAAGCUAGUCGAAUAAGUGCUGGGUAAGACCGGUGCCAGCCGCCGCGGUAACACCGGCAGCACAAGUGGUGACCGCUUUUAUUGGGCCUAAAGCGUCCGUAGCCGGUCUGGUAAGUCCUUGGGUAAAUCCUCAGGCUCAACCUGAGGAAUUCCGGGGAUACUGCCAGACUAGGAGUUGAGAGAGGUCAGAGGUACCUCCGGGGUAGGGGUGAAAUCCGAUAAUCCUGGGGGGACCACCAGUGGCGAAGGCGUCUGACUAGAGCAAGCUCGACGGUGAGGGACGAAAGCCAGGGGCGCGAACGGGAUUAGAUACCCCGGUAGUCCUGGCCGUAAACGCUGCGCGCUAGGUGUUACGUCCUCUACGGGGGGGCGUAGUGCCGAAGAGAAGUUGAUAAGCGUGUCGCCUGGGAAGUAUUACCGCAAGGUAGAAACUUAAAGGAAUUGGCGGGGGAGCACCACAAGGGGUGGAGUCUGCGGUUCAAUUGGAUUCAACGCCGG